UAUAUUUCAGUAUUAGUGUAUGUAGGCUUUUGAAUCCUAAGGUGUUGAUUAAUUUCAAUAAAAUAUAA
rnacentral:tRNA from 1 species